GUUUUAAUUAUGAUUCUAUAGGAUUUUUUCUGACAGGAUCCCUUCUUCAUUUGAUGAAUUUUUUUUCCCCUAGCUUUUUUUUGGCAGUGCCUGUCACUGAGUUUUGAAGCAUUGCAAAGGCUUUCUUCUAGCUUCACACCGAACUCAUAAGGACUUCGAGGAGCAGUGAAGCAACCUUUGAAAGCUGGUUCACUUGGACAGCUGGCAAUAAAAGGCUGUGUGUCAAUAAGCAUUAUAGACCUGAUAAGAGCCUGUGACUUGAACUAUAUGCAAAAGUGAAAUGAACUUGCGUUCCUACUGAUCAUGACGUGCAAGGUCAGUGCAAACUACCGAAAUAUUGGAUUGCAAAUACGCUCUUGGCAGUAAAAGUCCCAGCUCAGUACAGCUUGAUCAUUAUAGGGAAGCAUAGAGCUGUGCAAUAAAACCAACGCUGUUGGAAAUUAACUCCUAAGAAAGGGUUAUAAAAUCUGAAGGAAGUUUAAAAGUGAUUUUUUUUUAAUUAAUAUUUUUUCAUAGUGUUCUCUAAUUCUCAUUCCUGUGCCUUUUUAAUUCUGCAUUUCACUCAGGAGCAGUCACAGCUGAGGAAGGAAGUCCAGCUCAGCCCAAAAGAUCAAUGAAAGGGAUGGAGAGGCAAUUCCCUUUUCUUUUGUGUGUGCGUGUUGGUGUCUUUUUUCAAUACAAGUGAUGAAUGUGAAAGCAAUAAAGACUGAGAAGAUAAAAAGCUGGGAUUUGAGAGAAAGAGAUACUUCCCAUUAGGACAUGAAACCCUUAAACCCAUGAAUGCACUGUCUGUGAAACUGCUGGAAGCAAAGAGAAGCAAAGAAUGGAGUAGAAGAAAACAAUGGUCCAAAGGGCUGAAGACUUUUCCACCUUAGUGGAAACUUCACUGAAGUUAAAAGAACUUUGGAAUGAAUUCUUCCUGAAUGACUAAUCAUAGUUGUUCAUUUCAUUAGACUCCAAGAGGAAGCAAAAAUGGUGAGUCUGUUCUCUCAUCUACAAAGGAUGGUGGCCUUAUCAUGCUUCUGUGGACAACCUGAAACCAUAAAAAACUGAU
rnacentral:lncRNA from 1 species